CACAAAGUUUAACGGCCGCGGUAUCCUGACCGUGCGAAGGUAGCGUAAUCAUUUGUCUUUUAAAUAGAGACCUGUAUGAAUGGCAUAACGAGGGUUUAACUGUCUCCUUCCCCUAGUCAAUGAAAUUGAUCUGUCCGUGCAGAAGCGGACAUAAAUACAUAAGACGAGAAGACCCUAUGGAGCUUUAGACAAAAGAUCAAACAUGUAAAGAAACCAAACUAACCAAAAGGAACACAAAGGCCACAAAACCCAACGUAAACUGAUCCAAAUGUCUUCGGUUGGGGCGACCAUGGGGGAAAGAAAAGCCCCCACGAGGAACAGGGACAACCCCUAAACUAAGAGAGACACCUCUAAGCAACAGAAAAUCUGACCAAAAAUGACCCAGGAUACUUAUCCUGAUCAACGAACCAAGUUACCCUAGGGAUAACAGCGCAAUCCUUUCCCAGAGUCCAUAUCGACGAAAGGGUUUACGACCUCGAUGUUGGAUCAGGACAUCCUAAUGGUGCAGCCGCUAUUAAGGGUUCGUUUGUUCAACGAUUAAUAGUCCUACGUGAUCUGAGUUCA
rnacentral:rRNA from 1 species